UUUGCUUAGUGAUUUUUCUUUAUUUGAAACACUACAAUCCCAUUUCGAAUUUGAUAGUUAAGAAAUAAAGGGGUGACGAUAGUUAAAGGGUAGCUUUUAUUGAAAAUAACCUAUUGCUUGGCAAA
rnacentral:rRNA from 1 species